UCUUGGCUAACUUGGAUUUGUGGGCUGUAGGUUCAAAUUCUUGGGCAUUUUAAUUUACAUAAUACUUUUUUUUUGCUGUCUAGUUCUAUUUACACAGAUAACGUUAUUUUUAGGUUACACUAUAAUGAUGUAAAGCAGUUUCAAGUAUUUCUGUUUCUUCCGCAAUAUGAUGCUUCUGACUACUGACGACCCACACUUUGAGUUUAUUUUUCUUUGAAGGAGCUUAGUGCCCAGAAGUGUGAUGGGGAGGGCGAUGGCUCAUAUCAGUUCUGACAGCCACCUCCACCUGCAAAGAAAGCCAGUGACUUAGGAGCUCCGGUGCAGUGACUGGCCUGGGGUGUUGUACAGCAGCUUCAAUCUGCCGAACUCCACAUAGUGCAGAGGAGGUGAGGACACCGGUGUGCUCAAACUUGGGAAGAGCUGCUGCUAGUCCAGCAGAGCAGAGCCUUCUGUCAGUUCUGAGCAGGAAAGUAAACCCUGGAAGAAACAGAUGGAAUUUGGCAGCAGAGAAAACUGCGGUUAACUGGUAAGAGCAGGACCAACCAGAGUAAGUCACCCGAAACAGUCACAUGCCUGAACCCCAGUCACUUGGCGCACUUGGUAUGGUGAUCCCAGGAGGAAGGACAUUCUCAGAUGGUUCCAGGAAUGGACACUGACACCAUGUGCAAUGGCACAUGUGCCUGGAGUUGGAUGAGACCCGGGACUCACUUCUAACCCAUGGAAUUUGGCCACAGGGCUAGCUCUCUCUCCUAAGUAUGCUCCAGAAGGCCUUCCUGGUCGCUUGCUUCAGCGUGAGCGAGGCCCUGCCAGGAGGCAGAGAGGAGCAGAACCCAGCUCAGCAGCUCUGGAAAGUGGAAUUCUGUCCUAGUCACAUGGGAUCCUGAAUGGCUCCUUCCUCCUCACACUUCCGGAGGGGAAAUGGCCCUAGACUGCGACCUCCAGUGUCUGGGAGGAACAUUGCUGAAUUAACUGUUGCCCCAUGUUCCACAAAGUCCCCAAGGGUUUGGUACCCCAGGACUGGAGGGUGAAGACAGGUUGGAGCAGCCGAACUUCAAGAGGAGAAAAAUGCAGAGAAUCCGAGGGUGCCAUUUCUUCCAGCUCCAAGACUCAUUCUUUCUGUUCUUUAAAUUGAAAUAGAACAAUAAAUCCUGAAUAUUAGUGAACAAAGUGAAGUUUUUCCCUCCAAGCAUUAAAGU